rnacentral:rRNA from 1 species
CACGUAGGGACCAAGCGUUGUCCGGAUUCAUUGGGCUUAAAGAGCUCGUAGGCGGUUCGAUAAGUCGGGUGUGAAACCUCCAGGCUCAACCUGGAGACGCCACCCGAUACUGUCGUGACUAGAGUCCAGUAGGGGAGCGUGGAAUUCCUGGUGUAGCGGUGAAAUGCGCAGAUAUCAGGAGGAACACCAGCGGCGAAGGCGGCGCUAUGGGCUGGAACUGACGCUGAGGAGCGA